rnacentral:rRNA from 1 species
ACUACAUGAAGCUGGAAUCGCUAGUAAUCGCGAAUCAGCAUGUCGCGGUGAAUACGUUCCCGGGUCUUGUACACACCGCCCGUCACACCAUGGGAGUUGGUAACGCCCGAAGUCAGUGACCUAACCGCAAGGGAGGAGCUGCCGAAGGUGGGGCCAGUAACUGGGGUGAAGUCGUAACAAGGUAAC